UACGUAGGUCCCGAGCGUUGUCCGGAUUUAUUGGGCGUAAAGCGAGCGCAGGUGGUUUAUUAAGUCUGGUGUAAAAGGCAGUGGCUCAACCAUUGUAUGCAUUGGAAACUGGUAGACUUGAGUGCAGGAGAGGAGAGUGGAAUUCCAUGUGUAGCGGUGAAAUGCGUAGAGAUUAGGAAGAACACCAGUGGCGAAGGCGAUUCUCUGGACUGUGACUGACGCUGAGGCUCGAAAGCGUGGGGAGCAAACAGG
rnacentral:rRNA from 1 species